rnacentral:rRNA from 1 species
UAAGGAAUAUUGGUCAAUGGGCGCAAGUCUGAACCAGCCAUGCCGCGUGAAGGAUUAAGGCCCUCUGGGUUGUAAACUUCUUUUAUAGGGGAAGAAAUGUGACGGUUCUCCGUCACUUGACGGUACCCUGGGAAUAAGCACCGGCUAACUCCGUGCCAGCAGCCGCGGUAAUCCGGAGGGUGCAAGCGUUAUCCGGAUUCACUGGGUUUAAAGGGUGCGUAGGUGGGCAGAUAAGUCAGUGGUGAAAUCUUCCGGCUUAACCGGGAAACUGCCUAUGAUACUAUUUGUCUUGAAUAUUGCGGAGGUAAGCGGAAUAUGUCAUGUCGCGGUGAAAUGCUUAGAUAUGACAUAGAACACCAAUUGCGAAGGCAGCUUACUACACAAUCAUUGACACUGAGGCACGAAAGCGUGGGUAGCGAACA